rnacentral:rRNA from 1 species
AGAGCGAACGCUGGCGGCAGGCUUAACACAUGCAAGUCGAGCGGGCGUAGCAAUACGUCAGCGGCAGACGGGUGAGUAACGCGUGGGAACAUACCUUUUGGUUCGGAACAACCCAGGGAAACUUGGGCUAAUACCGGAUAAGCCCUUACGGGGAAAGAUUUAUCGCCGAAAGAUUGGCCCGCGUCUGAUUAGCUAGUUGGUGAGAUAACGGCUCACCAAGGCGACGAUCAGUAGCUGGUCUGAGAGGAUGAUCAGCCACAUUGGGACUGAGACACGGCCCAAACUCCUACGGGAGGCAGCAGUGGGAAUAUUGGACAAUGGGCGCAAGCCUGAUCCAGCCAUGCCGCGUGAGUGAUGAAGGCCCUAGGGUGUAAAGCUCUUUGUGCGGGAAGAUAAUGACGGUACCGCAAGAAUAAGCCCCGGCUAACUUCGUGCCAGCAGCCGC